rnacentral:rRNA from 1 species
ACGUGAGUAACCUGCCCUUAACUCUGGGAUAAGCCUGGGAAACUGGGUCUAAUACCGGAUAUGACUCCUCAUCGCAUGGUGGGGGGUGGAAAGCUUUAUUGUGGUUUUGGAUGGACUCGCGGCCUAUCAGCUUGUUGGUGAGGUAAUGGCUCACCAAGGCGACGACGGGUAGCCGGCCUGAGAGGGUGACCGGCCACACUGGGACUGAGACACGGCCCAGACUCCUACGGGAGGCAGCAGUGGGGAAUAUUGCACAAUGGGCGAAAGCCUGAUGCAGCGACGCCGCGUGAGGGAUGACGGCCUUCGGGUUGUAAACCUCUUUCAGUAGGGAAGAAGCGAAAGUGACGGUACCUGCAGAAGAAGCGCCGGCUAACUACGUGCCAGCAGCCGCGGUAAUACGUAGGGCGCAAGCGUUAUCCGGAAUUAUUGGGCGUAAAGAGCUCGUAGGCGGUUUGUCGCGUCUGCCGUGAAAGUCCGGGGCUCAACUCCGGAUCUGCGGUGGGUACGGGCAGACUAGAGUGAUGUAGGGGAGACUGGAAUUCCUGGUGUAGCGGUGAAAU